AUUUAAUUCAUUAAAUAAAGUUAGUUUGAGAGUUUUUUCGUUAAAUAUGAGAUUUUUUACCCAAAUAAAUUUAGUUGAGGGCUUUUAAGGUUAAAAAUCAUUAAUAUAAUAGAGAUAUGUUUUAUAUAUGAUUUUUAAAAAAUAUAUCUUAUCUACAAACCUUAAUUUUGAAAUGCUCAAAACUAAAUUGGGUUGAGAAUAGACGUUGGGAAAUGGGCCCAGCCAGUCUCCACUCGAUAAAAUAUUUAUAAAAAAAACUCGGGCAAAUAAUUAGAUUUAUGUAAAAUUAUACUAAUUAAGUGCAUUAGUUUAGAAUUUUUUCUUCAAAAUAUAAAUAAAUCGAACUCUUCGUAAAAGAAAUUAAAAUUUUAUUUAUUAAAUAUUAUUACUUUUUUAGAUUUAAUUAGAUAAAACUCUUGAUAUUGAUAACCUAACCGAUGAUAAAUGUCAUAAUCAUUAUUCUUUCUCAGGUUUGCUGUUAAAACAUUAAAGUAUGUAUGGUAUGACGAGAAAACAACGUUAUUAUCUUGAAAAAAUUGAAACCUCAUCGACUUUUCACAUUAUGUCGAUCUUGGUGUAUUUUUUUCUCUGAAACCUCAUAUAAACGAGAGACAACAUAUGCAUGUUCUUUUUUUUGUAACCCUCCUCUUUUCUUCGGAAGAGUCUCGUACCACCAACGCGUAACAAUAAUUAAAUCUUGCUGUGAAUCUUGUGAAUCAGCUUCUUCAGCGGCUUCGAGAUAUGUUUUCGCCUUAUGAUGAUAGUGGCUCUUCAGUCGAAAGCCAGAUCUUUAUGAUGCUUGGAGCUGUGACGAUAAGUUUUGGCGCAGGUCUGAUAUUUUAUUGCGUAAUUAGAUUAUUAAGAAUGUAUCGUUCUACUACUCAAUCUCCGGUACCAAAUCCUGGAGACAUAGAGUUAGGACAUCAAGAAGUACAACUAGCUCCUGUGCUAAGGGAAAACUUUGUAUUUGUGCAUGGGGAAAUCGAGUGUAACAUCUGCUUAGAGGAAUUCGAACCCAACGUCGUAUUGGCAAAUACACUAUGUGGGCAUGCAUUCCACUUAGAUUGUUUACGUAAGUGGAAUGGAAAUACUUGUCCAACGUGUCGUAUAAAUUUAGUUUAGUUUUCUGUAAAAUAGGCCAAUGAUAUUGUAUAUAUCUAAUCUAUUAAAACAGGAGUACAAAAUUAGAUUAUCCCUUAGUUUUCCACUAUAUUUACAAUGACAUGCCACUGGAGUUAUUAAUUAACCUACCUUUUAGGAUUUUUGUCUUUUCUCUUCAAUUAAUGUAUUUCCAAAUCAAAUUCUAGCUAAAAAUAAUGGCAACAAUAAUUAAUAAACCUAGAUUUUAGUAUUCUUUGUCUUUUCCUAUUUAAUAUGUGUGUUUUAAAAUAAUUAAUUCCAUAUAUACAUUUCGCAAUUACAUACAUUAUAUGUAAUUAUUUUACUAAUUCCACAUAUACAUAAUAAAUAGUACUCUCUCUGUUUUUUAUAUAAGUCGUUUAGAAGAAUUUUUAUGUUCCAAAUUAUAUGACGUUUUCGGUUUUCUAUAUAAAAUUUAUUAACACUUAAUGUUAUAUGACCAAUGAUAAUAUACUUUCUAUUUUAUUUUUGGUUGAUUUGUGUUUAGAUAAAUAAUUUAAUGAUGUUUUUGUUUAGAAAAUAUAAAAAAAUUAAUGAUUUCUUAAUCUAUGUACACAAUUCUAAAAUGACUUAUAUUAAAAAACAUAGGGAGUAUACAACAAUUUUCUUAUACAUAAUCAUAAAAUUUUGAAAUGUCAUAUUAAAAAAAAUUAUUGUGUUUAGAAAUGUCAUAUUAAAAAAAAAAUAAACGGGUAAAUUUUAAAAUAUAUAUUAUCACUUAUACAAAUAUAUAUUCAUUUAUGAAAAAAACUAACAUCCGCGCGGGUGCGCGGGUCAAGCUCCAGUGGAUUUUUAAAGUAACAGAAUAUAUAUUUUAUUUCAAUAGUUUAAUUGUCCAGUAUUUGGAAAUUUGUAAUCGAUUCGCUAGCUAAUUCGUACCUUUUUGUUUCCCCAAUCAACAUAUUAUUUUAUAUUUUCAUAUCCAUUAAUAAUUAUGGAUAUUGGUGAUAAAUGUCUAGAAAACUAUAAAUAAACAAAAGACAAAAUUUUAAUAAACGCUAAUAUAAUAAUAAAAUUUU